rnacentral:lncRNA from 1 species
CUUACUCUAAUGAAUUCUCUAAGCAUGCUCGGACGAAAGAUUGAUCAAAAGGAAAUCAACCGAAAGCUUCUUAGAGUCAUGCCAAAGCGAUUCGCACCAAAGGUUACUACACUUCAAGACUCGGUCACAAUCAGCACAAUGGAAACUCUUACCUUAUUUGGAGAACUUGAAGAGUUUGAAAACCAACUAAAAUUGUAUGAUGAAGAAGAUGAGGCACCUAAGAAGAAGACCUUGGCUCUACAAG